rnacentral:rRNA from 1 species
GUGCCAGCAGCCGCGGUAAUACGGAGGGGGCUAGCGUUGUUCGGAAUUACUGGGCGUAAAGCGCACGUAGGCGGAUCAGAAAGUUGGGGGUGAAAUCCCGGGGCUCAACCUCGGAACUGCCUUCAAAACUAUUGGUCUUGAGUUCGAGAGAGGUGAGUGGAAUUCCGAGUGUAGAGGUGAAAUUCGUAGAUAUUCGGAGGAACACCAGUGGCGAAGGCGGCUCACUGGCUCGAUACUGACGCUGAGGUGCGAAAGCGUGGGGAGCAAACAGGAUUAG